CAUACUUCAAUCAUUAUGUAAUGUGUUUGGUUGGUUUUAGAGUAUCUAUUCGCCCGCCCGCCAUCUGUUCUGCAAAAUGACACAGAGAGAAACUCAUUCAUCUUCUUCUUCUUCUUCUUCUUCUUCUUUUAAUUUUAUUAGUGCUUUAAGCUGCUUGCUUUAACUUUCAAGUCAGAUAAAUGUAGUAGAACGAGGUAUUAAGGACAUUGAAUUGAAUCGGCAGUGUGUGAUAGAUGGCAUUAAGGCGCUUAUUUGGGUUCUCAGAAGGGGAGUUGAUGCGGUCAGUUUGUAAGCCUUGCUCUAGAUUAAUGAGGCAAACAGCUGGAAUUUUUAGUGUUGUAGGAGCUUUUGGUUUCUAGAUUCUCUGUAGGUUGCAUUAUGGUCCUAGAAUUACAAAUCCUAGGAGUCUUCUCGGUGGGCUGCUUGUGGAGCUGUAUGUUGGAGUUCAACUUCUGCUCUGCUGGUCCGCCUUUUCAGCCCAGAAUGUGAACCCCAGAAUAUAGCUGCUUUAUGACAAAGUAAAAUGGCAAUAGGUUACCCAUGAGGGUUGAAUUAUGCUGUGGUAAAUGAGCAAUUUGAGACAAUACAUUUUCUCGGUUGACCACCAGGACCGAAUUCAUGCAGUGCCUGAUUGUCCAAUAGUUUGAUUUUUUUAUCAAAUGACUGAUUGAGUCUUGAAUCAGCCCCCUCUGAGAGGCUGGAGUCAGAAGAGAACAUACUUUUAGAAUAGGGAUUCGAGACAGAGCAGAGCCGUAGCUCUUAUCAAUGUUUGGAAAGCACAUAUUUUAGGGCACAUCGAGUGAUGAUACUACAUGAUAUUUCCCAGGCCGUUGACCCUCCUUAAGGCUUCACUACCGUAUUGAAUAAGAUAGUUGAGUCUGGGUUCAUCCAAAAAAUUCAAGUCUUGUGAUGAGUGAUCUAUUAUAUUGUUUUAAUUGUUGGACGUGGGAUAGGUGCUUUAAAAAGUGCAACCACACCUGAGAGAUAGCAGGAAGUUUCAGCAAGUUUUGUUCCGGGAGCUUCAAGGCGACGUAUUAGCCUGAUUAUUAAUUUCUUGUAUAUAUGGAAUUCCAUUACACUUUCUGUAAACAAUUUGGCAUCAAGCUGGAUCACAAGCUUGGAAA